rnacentral:rRNA from 1 species
CUAGUACGAGAGGACCGGAGUGGACGCAUCACUGGUGUUCGGGUUGUCAUGCCAAUGGCACUGCCCGGUAGCUAAAUGCGGAAGAGAUAAGUGCUGAAAGCAUCUAAGCACGAAACUUGCCCCGAGAUGAGUUCUCCCUGAGACCUUGAGUCUCCUGAAGGAACGUUGAAGACGACGACGUUGAUAGGUCGGGUGUGUAAGCGCAGCGAUGCGUUGAGCUAACCGAUACUAAUGAACCGUGAGGCUUAACCUU